rnacentral:misc_RNA from 1 species
UUAAGUUCAGCGGGUAUUCCUACCUGAUCCGAGGUCAACCUUUGAGAAAUUGGGGUGUUUUACGGCAGGGGACCGGCCCAACUACAGACGAGAGAAAUUUUACUACGUCUAGAGUGUGAGACCGACUCCGCCACUAACUUUGGGGAGCUACAUCGCUGUAGGCUCCCAACACUAAGCAACGGGGGCUUAAGGGUUGAAAU